CGUUGGACCGUGUACAAGUCCCUUGGAACAGGGCGUCACAGAGGGUGAGAAUCCCGUCUUUGACACGGACUGCCAAUGCUUUGUGAUGCGCUCUCAAAGAGUCGAGUUGUUUGGGAAUGCAGCUCAAAAUGGGUGGUAAAUUCCAUCUAAAGCUAAAUAUAGGCGAGAGACCGAUAGCGAACAAGUACCGUGAGGGAAAGAUGAAAAGCACUUUGGAAAGAGAGUUAAACAGUACGUGAAAUUGCUGAAAGGGAAACGCUUGAAGUCAGUCACGUCUGCCAGGACUCAGCCUUGCUUCUGCUUGGUGUACUUUCUGGUCUGAUGGGCCAACAUCAAUUUUGACCGUUGGAGAAAGGCAUUGGGAAUGUGGCACCUUCGGGUGUGUUAUAGCCCAUUGUUGUAUACGACGGUUGGGAUUGAGGACCGCAGCACGCCUUUAUGGCCGGGGUUCGCCCACGUACGUGCUUAGGAUGUUGGCAUAAUGGCUUUAAGCGACCCGUCUUGAAACACGGACCAAGGAGUCUAACAUGCCUGCGAGUGUUUGGGUGGAAAACCCAUGCGCGUAAUGAAAGUGACAGCUGAGAUCCUCUCAUCAGGAGCAUCAGCGCCUGGGACUUGAUCUAC
rnacentral:rRNA from 1 species